rnacentral:ncRNA from 1 species
UCCGCGCUCUCGGGGUGUCCUUCUGGACUGAGAUGCUAUCCAGCAAACCCGUAGAACCUGAUCCGGCUCAUACCGGCGUAGGGAAGAGAACUUGCCUUCUA